rnacentral:rRNA from 1 species
AAACAGCUAGCUUAUCCACCAAUAUAACCAAAUAAUAUAAAUAAAAUAGAAUAGGCCGAACACCAAAAACUAAACCAUUCUUUUACCUGAGUAUGGGAGACAGAAAAGGUUCAACCAAAGCAAUAGAAAUAGUACCGCAAGGGAAAGCUGAAAGAGAAAUGAAAUAACCCAUAUAAGUAACAAAAAGCAAAGACUAAACCUUGUACCUUUUGCAUCAUGAUUUAGCCAGUAAACACAAGCAAAGAGACCUUUAGUUUGAAACCCCGAAACCAGGUGAGCUACCCCGAGACAGCCUAUUAAGGGCCAACCCGUCUCUGUGGCAAAAGAGUGGGAAGAGCUCCGGGUAGAAGUGACAGACCUACCGAACCUGGUGAUAGCUGGUUGCCUAAGAAAUGAAUAGAAGUUCAGCCUCGUACACCUCAAAUCAAAUAAACACCAAUCAAGACACCAAGAGAAAGACACGAGAGUUAGUUAAAGGGGGUACAGCCCCUUCAACAAAGGACACAACCUUAUUCAGGAGGAUAAAGAUCAUAAUAUAUAAAACAUACUGUUCUAGUGGGCCUAAAGGCAGCCACCUAAACAGAAAGCGUUAAAGCUCAGACAGAAAAAAGUUUAUUAUUCUGAUAAAAAAUCUUACUCCCCUAAAUACUAUUAGGCUAAUCCAUGCCCCCAUGGAAGAAAUUAUGCUAAAAUGAGUAACAAGAAGGCCCGCCCUUCUCCAAGCACAAGUGUAAGCCAAACCGGACCAACCAUUGGCAACUAACGAACUCAACCCAAGAGAGCAAUGUGAACCAUAAAAAAAACAAGAAAAACCCACAACUCAACAAUCGUUAACCCCACACUGGAUUGCUAUUAAAGGAAAGACUAAAAGAAAAGGAAGGAACUCGGCAAACACAAGCCUCGCCUGUUUACCAAAAACAUCGCCUCCUGCAACGCAGCCAUGUAUAGGAGGUCCAGCCUGCCCAGUGACUACAAGUUCAACGGCCGCGGUAUUUUGACCGUGCAAAGGUAGCGCAAUCACUUGUCUUUUAAAUAGA